ACUCUCGAAGGAUCGUAAAUAAGUCUUGGUGGAUUGAGGAUAUUUUCAAUCGAUUGAAAUGACAUCUUUUUAAAUUUUGAGAAAGCUACUUUGGCCGUUCAUUCUUUUCUUCUCUCUCCUCUUUUCUUUCCUUUUUCUUUUCUUUUUCUUCCUUUUUUUCUCUCUCUUCCUCCCUCUCUCCCCGACUCCAUCUCUUCCCCUCUCAACCUUGCCACAACAACCAUCAGCAACCCUACUUCACCCAACCCACCACCACUUACCAUCAUUGAAGGCACCACAACCCCCGCGAGCCACCUCUCCUCUCUCCACCUUUCAAUUUCCGAUGAAACACGAAGACCUUUUUCGCCACUGCAUCUCGUCGUCAUCAAGCUCUUGGCCUAACGGCCUAGCUUUUCCUUCGUCGCGAAUUUUUCCCUCAUUUUGGGUGUCUCUCUAUUUCUCUCUUCCCUAGUCGACUUAGGCUAAGGAGAACUCACUAGUGCCCACCUGUAAUUUCCAACUUAAAAUUCGGCGGCUUCUCAUCUUUUCCAGCCACGGUUAGUCGGAAACUUCUCAGAUUUCUCAUUUGCCCUUUGUUUUUCCUCUCUCUCCCACGCGGCUAGGUGAAUUGAGCAAGGAAAGUGAAGCAAAGGAAAAUUCUAAAGCAAGGAGCAAGCUAAGCUAAGCAAGAGCAUAAAAAAAAAACUCAAAAAUCUAAAAAUUUACAAAGCAAAGCAAAAAUUAAAAAAUAAUUUGAAGUUGCUUAAGGACCCUCUGUGAGCAUUUCUAACUCUAUCUCUAGUCAAAUCGUCGACCCGCAUGGUGGCGAUUCUUUAAAUUCGUAGAUAAAUCGUGAGCCCACGUGAAGGCAAUUUAAUCUUUCUUGUAUGUUGUUCAAAGCAUGGGAGUAUGGGAUCAUCGUAUGUGGAGGAUUGUUAAUUGUUGGUUUGUUGCUGAGGAGAAGUGAUUGCUACUUGCUUGUUACUUGUUUAUGUUUUGUUUGUGCAUGCAUGGUCAUAGGUUAUUAAAUCCUAUUCUUGUCCCACUUAAUUUGAAUCUUGAAUCCAUUGCUCGUAAUUCUAAGGGAAGGGGUAAUUCUAGUCAUUCAAUUUCAUUAAUGGAAGACAUCAAUGAGGACCGUGUGGAGGACCUUGGUCAUAUAGACCAACAAGGUAUCCUCUACCCAAAUUUGCAUCAUGUCAACAUCCAAGUACCAUUAGGCAUGCCAAGACCAUUUGUUUCAUAACAACAAGGCUAAGUUCCAUUAGGAAUGCCUUGGCCAAUUUUUGUUCCACCCCUACCUCCCGUUGCUUAAGUAAAUCAUAGGGCUUAUGUUGAGCUUCCAAUUGUGAAUCCUCAUCUCACUUUGCGUGAUCAUUAUGUGCCAAAUGAAUACAAUGCACCUAUAUGCAUUCAAUUGCCCCCUUUUAGAGCACAUCACUAUGAGAUUAAAUCGCAAACUAUUCAAUUGCUUCCUAACUAUCAUGGACUUCUAAGUGAAGAACCGUACAAGCAUUUGGAUGAGUUUCUAGAAGUAUGCUCCAUCGUGAAAUACACAGACAUGCAGGAAUAUGUUUUGUGAUUAAAACUCUUCCCUUUCACCCUUAAAGAUAAAGCAAAAUAUUGGUUCAACAAUCUUAGGCCUUUUUCGAUAACUUCUUGGUCGAAAAUGCAACAAGAGUUCUUGAAAAAGUACUAUCCAGUUUCAAAGACCAAUGCUAUGAGAGCUUCUAUUCGUGAAUUUUCUCAAAGGGAUGGGGAGUUGUUUCAUGAGGCAUGGGAAAGAUUUAAUGACUUGCUUAGGAAGUGUCCACAUCAUGACAUGCCCAAGUGGCAAUUAGUUCAAUACUUCUUUGAAAGUUUGCCGAAUAAUCACAAGGGUAUGGUUGAUGCAUCUAUGGGUGGUUCUUAUCUUGAUAAGCAUGAAAAUGAUGUAUGGCGUCUUUAUGAAAGCAUGAGUGAGAAUUCAAUGCAUCGAUACUUGUCUUCCAAAAAUAGUAGAAAUCUAGGUGGAAGGAAAAAUGUCGGCUUAUAUCAAGUUGACAAUUCCAAUGACAUAGCACCCGAAGUCAAGUCUUUAUCUCAAAGGUUUGAUCAAUUUUUUUAUCAACCAAAAUUCGAUGAAUCAAAUGUCGUCCUCCCCUAACCAUUCUUAUCAUAAUUCCAAUGAGACUUGCAUGACUUGUUCUAGUGUCUUACAUUCUACUUCCAAUUGUCCCCAUAGACAUGUGCAAAGUGAGCACCAUGAGUAAGUGAAUGCCGCAUUUGUCAACCAAGGGAAUAAUCCCUAUGGCACACAUUACAAUCCUGGGUAGAGGAACCAUCCAAACUUCUCUUGGAAAAGCUAAGAGGAAGGGUUAAACCCUCCCCGAGGUGGUUUUCAAGGCAAGUAUGUUCCGCCCCAAAUACAAAGCCAAGGUUCCCAAGGUUAUAGAUCAUCUUUUCAAUCAUCACAUGGAAAUCAAUUUUUUAACUCUUAUUUUCCUAAUCAAUCUUCAUAUUCUCAAGGGAAUUCUAGGAAUCCCGCUUUUGAGGAGAAAGUGUUGACCGCUUUGGGCACGUUGGAAAUGAACACCCAAUUACUUCAUUCCCAUUCUUAAUCCAUUGCGAAGCUAGAAACCCAAGUUGGGCAAAUAGUUAGUACCUUAAAUGCUCGGGAAAAGGGGAAGAUGCCUUUGAAUCCACCACCAAAGAAAUAAUUUGUUAUGGAGACCAAUUCCUCCUCGAAAGGUCACACAAUUGAAUAUGUCAAUGCGGUGGCAACUUUGAGAAGUGGAAAAAUUGUUGAAAAUCAAGUUGGAGUUUACAAUGAAGAAAGUGAACUGGUGCAACCAAAAGUUGACACCCGUCCUGUUUCACAUCCUAUUCUUCCUUCGUUGCAUGUACAUGAACCCUUUGUUGAGAAAAUUUUGAAAAAUUAUUUGAAAUAUUCUUGUGUUGAAAGUGAUUCCCCAAAGAUUUUUGAAAAAGCUUUUGAGCCAAAAGCUCCAUUUCUGGAGGCCUUAAAAGGAUCCAUUUCUUUUGAAAAGCAAAAGACCAAGGCUGAUGAAAUAAUUGAAAUGUUUAGGCAAGUGAAGAUUAAUCUUCCUCUCUUGGAUGCAAUUAAACAAAUUUUGGCUUAUGCCAAGUUCUUGAAUGAUCUUUGCACCCAAAAGAGGAAGAACAAGAGCCAAUCACCAAAGAAAGUUGUCUUGACCGAGCAAGUGAGCUUAAUAUUGCAACAUAACUCACUUCUAAAAUUCAAAGACCUCGGUUCACCUACCACUUCUUGCAUCAUUAGUGACCAUGUCAUUAAUCGGGCUCUUCUUGAUUUAGGAGCAAGUGUGAACCUUCUUCUAUACUUGGUGUAUGUUCAAUUGGGCUUAGGAGAUUUAAAACCGACGUCGGUAGUGUUGCAACUAGCCGAUCGUUCCAUUAAAAAGUCCCGGGGUAUUAUUAAGGAUGUGUCGAUUAAAAUUGAUAAAUUCUUCUUCCCGGUUGAUUUCGUGGUCAUAGACACAGAACCGGUCACAAACCCUUAGAGCCAAAUUCCUAAUAUCCUUGGCCGUCCUUUCUUGGCAACCGCUAAUGCCAACAUAAAUUUUAAGAUGGUGAUAAUGAAAAUUUCAUUUAGGCAUCUGAAGGUGAAGUUGAACAUAUUUAAUCCAACCCCGAAUUCAAUGGACAAGCAUAAAGAAGUGUGUGUUAUGGAAAAGUGCCUUGAAAAUGAACUUGAAAAACAUGAGUCUUUGCUUGACAAUGGAAUUUCGAAUAACUUAUUUUCAAAACAGAGUUUAAAGAGAAAUGUUUCAAAACUAAGAGUUGUAAGGGCAUGAAAGCCCAAUGAUUUGUUUGACAAAGGACCGUCAACUCCAUUUGAAUCAAAUCCAAUAAGUUCCCUAGGGAAUAGUUUGUUGGAUGGGGUUCAAAAGUCAUUUCACCCCAUGAAGGAGGGGAUGCACAACAAGAUCUUUGAUCUGGGCUAAAAGAGUCUAACGUCUUACUAGAGAUGCUACACACUAGUGAUUUGAAAGGCUUACAACCCUAUUCCUCCCUCAUUUCUAUUUUACUUUUCUUUUUUUUGCGUCGUCUAGAUAUGUUCUAGGGUCAUAAACAUUGUUUGGGACUUUGAUAGAGAAUGCUUGCACCUACAUUUUCAAAUUAAGCAUUUAGUGCCUGUUCGAUCAAUCACAAAAGGAAGUUCAAUCGAUCGAACAUCAUCUCUGCAUACUCUCAUCUCUCUGUUCCAUCGUGCGAAAAUUUCCUGUAUAUUUCAUCUCUCUGUGUAUCGUGUGAAUUUUCCUCUCAGAUCGAUCUAAGAAUUAUUGAAUCGAUCCAACUUUCCCUUGGAUUGAUCUCAGUUCUAUACUUAGAAAUUUUUUUGAAGCUUUGAAAAUACCUCUCUAUGUAUCGUUCAAAGAUCCCUGCAGGUUUUUACCUGUUGGAUCGAUCAAGAUUCGAUCGAUCAAUGUUUGAUCGAUCUGUGUUCUCCCGUUUGACUUUAACUUUUUCAAUUCAAAAUUUCAAAAAUCCAAAAAUACUUUUCAGUUUCUUAAAAAAAAAAAAAUUCAAAACAUUUUAAAUAUUUUUCAAAAAUCCAAAAAUAUUUUUAAUUUUCCAAAAAUUCAAAAAUAUUUUGUUGCCUUAUGGGUUCGAUCAAUCCAUUCAUCCUCAUGAUCAAUCCAUUUUCAAUCGACCGAAUCACUCCUAUGAUCAAUCGAGCAUGUCGGGAUUAGUUUUUUUUAAAAUGACUCAAGGGUCAUUUAGAUCGAUUCUUACAUCAAUCUAAAGUUUCUUCUUUUUCCCGACGACAUUCUUUCAUCUUCCCCACCUCCGGUGACACUCCAGCGACCUCCUAAGGCUUCCAAACUUCCAUCUUUGCACUCGAUCUCAUCUUCUCUCUCUCAGUCCACUUCUCUCCCUCGUUUUUUGUAAGUUUUUGUUUUUGUUUUCCAUUUUCGAACUUCAUCUAGUGUUUUCCAUGUUGCCAUGUUUGGAUCUCAAGCUUCCAUGUUGAUUUGUUGCCAUUUUUGAAGUUUUGAAGCAUAUGUAUAUAUAUGUAUGUAUUUUAUUUCUAACUUUGAUUUCAGGGGUCACGUGCCGAUUUAAAUGACCAUUUGUGAAUUGUUGAGGUGUAGAAUGGCCCACGAGCAUAUUCGGAUGCCCCCGUGUUGUCCACGUCCCGGAUUCGUGACUAUUCAUAUUUUUCCAUAGGUUCGAUUGAUUGAAUCCAAGCUCUGAUCGAUCAUAGUUCGAUCGAUCCAAUCCAUCUCAUGAUCGAUCCAACUUGGAUCAAUCCCAUUUUUUUUUUAUGAUGGAUCGAACUUCACUGCUUUCUUAUUGAUACCCCUGCACCUUCAUUUGUGUUCACGUUAUUAUAAUUAUGCCCAAUGCCUAUAUUUUCCACAUUGGUUACAUUUCAUACUUAUCAUGUAUAGCAUGUCUCACUAUUCAAUGCUUAUACUUGGCUGCAUUAUCACUUUCAUAGAUUCAUGUAAUUUAUUCUGAGUUGUCUAUCUUAACUUGACAAACAUGUUUCUAUCUGUGUGCUUUCAAUUCUGUAUCUUAUAUACUGUUUCCUAUUACUGACUUUAUUUGCAAGUGUUUCUUUCUUUUUGUAGACCAUGGCUCGAGUUAAAACCACUGCCCGUCGGAUAUAUGAGCGUAGGGUGCAACAUCGGGUAGAGGAGCAUGAGGAGCUAGCUCCUACUUAGGAGGCUGAGCACUCCUCCUCUUCUGCAGCUGCCUUUUCAUCUUCAUCAGCUCUGGAGGCUGCGCACACGCCACCCCCAUUACCUAUUCCAGCACCACCAUCGGCAUAGCCUGGCAUGGCCCAUGACCAGGUUGAGCCCAGAUUCUUGUGCCUUUUAGUGGCGCACAAGUCCGUAUUUGAUAAGACUUUCUUUGCCCGGUCGGCCAUGACCAAGUGGCCUAUGAUGAGAUCUACAGGCGCAACAUCUCUCCUAUUUUAGCCCUAGUAGCCAAUCCAGUUUACCAGAGGCUUGUUCGGUUGUUCUACCAGAAUCUCCAGCCGGCCCCGAGUAACCUGGCAGAGUUGCGGACCUCUAAUGAUGGCUAUCCCAUCCGCAUUACAGUUGAGACGCUUGCUACAACCUCUCAGUGCCCACACAUUUGCCCUGACUAUCCAGUUCUCCAGCGGCCACCCUAUUCAGCCAUGGCCAUAGCUCGUAAUGGCCCUGCUAGUGUCGGUGACACAUUUACCACUAGGACCUAUCUGCCCGACGACCUAUGGUUCUUUGAUUCGGUCUUGUAUCAAAAUGUUUUCAUGGCGGGCCAUAAGAUUCAGAGGCGUGCAAACUUUCUAGCAGCCCCCUAUGCUUUCUACAUAGAUCAUUGGUUCUUAGUCCUUGCCCUCUAUUAGACUGUCAUAAUAAAGUUCUACGAUUCAUUCAUCGGCAAGAAAAAUCCCAAGAGGGCUAAGUUCUUUCCUUUUGUGCACUUGAUCACUUAGAUCCUCCGAGACUAGCAAUAUCCUUUUCACCCAGACGAGUAUCCUGAGACAGGGGCUUGCCACUAUGGCAAGAAGGACUGGAAUAAGAGCUACUAUGCUCUUAUUAGAAUAUUAGAGGAGGAGGCAGUCCUAGUGUCAGAGGAGGCAAAGGCAGAGGCAGCAGCAGCAGCACUGGCAGCUGAGGGUGCUUUUAUAGACAUUGACCUGAAGUAGGAGCUUCCAGCAGGGUCACCACAUCUGUUUCCGGCAGGGCCACCACUUCAUUCACAGGAGCAGUGUGCUUGGCAGUUCCAGAAUUAGAGGUUGAUCGUGCAGAGCAGAUACAGACUUCCAUUCCAUUGACUACAUAGGACCACUCUCUAUGUUUAGCUUUAUGUUUUAUUUCCAGUUCAAGACUUUUUAUUAGGGGUCCUCUAGAAGGAUUCCCGAGUUGUAUAGAUUGGUGGUUUGGAUUAUCGGAUUUAAAAUAUUUAUAUAUCAAGGUUUAUUAAUUUAGUUUCUUCCAGCUAUUUAAUUUUAUUUCUUAUUUCACUUUGAAUUCCAUGUUCGAUUUAAAAUACUUUAAUUGUUCGAUAUUUCCCUCAGGUUUGGGCCUGGGCCUGAUCAACCCGUGUCUCGGAUCUGAGGGGUAUCAUAGUUGGUAUCAGAGCACUCCAGAAUGUUUAGCACAAGGAGAAGGAUGUGGUCUGCAAUGAAGGCAAAGAAGGACCUAAAGAAGAAGAAGAUUACUCCAACGAUUCCUUUGCGAAGGCCGACCAAGAAGGCAAAGCUGGAGACCCAGGACUUGUAUCCAGUCAGUGUUGUCUAGGAGUAUAAGGCAAGGAAGGUUUCUUGUGUGCGGGAUUAGCCACCAUACUGUGGACCUAACACAACUUCGGUGGUGCUCGAAGCUGAGUCAAGUGGAGAUGAAGACCCCGAAGAAGUUCAGGAUGGAGGAGAUACCAGAGCAUCUAAGAUGGAAGGCACCGGAGCUCAUGGAUGACUAUUCUUUUAAAAGUAAUUUUGAUUACUAGUAGUAAAGGAAGGAUUACUAAAAGUGUAGUAUGGAUUUGAUCAAAUACACUAGUUUUGUUAAAGAAUAUUUUAUGAUUAUUCUUUUGGAAGUUCAUGACUUGGAAAAAAAAAAAAUUUAAUAAAGUAAACUGGUGGUUUUGGCUAUCUCUUUUG